AGGUGGUAAAUCCUGGCCAAGGCUCCUCGAGCCAGGCCGGCUGGCAGUGCUGCAUCGUGCUGAAGGCGCUGAGGUUGCAGCGGAUGCAUUCCGGGCCAGUGAUAUGAUGUGGACAGGAAAAGUCUUUUGUUCUGGGAAAAUGGAGGACUGAAACCUCUUCAUGUCUUUUUCCCAGGCCCUGAUUUAGGAAGACCAAAACAGGGACUUCUACAGUAGCAGCUUAAUCAGCAGAUGCUGGGUGGUCGCCUCUGCACAUGGCCUGGGGGGCGGGGCGCCUUACCGCGUCACACUGGGUGGAUGGGCCUGUGUGUGGCCUCUCUCCAGCUGUGGCUGACAGUACUCACUCAGCCCAGGCUUCCAGGCCCUCCUGGGCCCUCCUAUCCACUGAAGGAAAUGGGAGAUGAGUGGGUAAUGGAAAAGCCUUUGGAGUCAGAUGUAAAUCCAUGACUUGACCACUUAUUGCUGUGAGACCCUGGACAGCUGGAUAUAGAGUUCUUGUUCUAGCAUCCGCCCUGGGAAUCCCCGGAACUGGGCCUCUUACCGACACCAUUGCCUGUAAUCCACAAACCUAGGAGUUACUCCAGUUACUGUCCUACUGAAGGACCCCCAUCCCAUCUGGGCUACUAUAACCACAUGGACCAUCCCUUGCUUCAAUCAUAGAAUUCUUUCUUCAGAUCAAAGUAUAUUCAGACACUCGAUACAGUAACAAAAGCAAGCUAUCCUGGAAGGAAGAAGGAAUCAGGAGGCAGAGCACAUGGUUAAAGCAUGAGAUGUGAAACCAGGAAGAACCAGGUCUGAACCUUAGCUCCACCAGUGGUAGCUUCAAACCUUGGUCCUUUCUGAGCCUGCUUCUUCAACCGUAAGGAACUCGGAAACGGGACCCAGAAAGUUGUUUUCUCAAGUGGAUGGAACAACACAAGCAAUCAGUAUCCUGAAACAGGCCCUGUUCCAACAAACUGACCCAGAAAGAGGUUAUACCAAUUAUCUCUCCAGCAAGUAUGAGGACUCCUGUUUCCCUACGUACUCACUACUACAGCAAAGAUAUCAAACAUUGAUACCCACCAAUCUCUGGAUGGAAAAACAAAUCUCAGGGUAGAAUGGAUGGACUUUGUGCAACAUAAUGUGACAGUUAAGGCUGUGGAAUUUAGAGUCAGAAAGACCUGAGGUCCAAGCCCCAGCUCUGCUAUUUUCUACUAUGUGAUCAAAGGACAUUUUCCUAACUCUUCAAAGCUUCCAUGUCCUUGAUCUGAUGGAAUUAGGAAUACUAUCUAUACCGUAGAGGGCAGUUCUGAGGACUAAAAGCAUGCAAAGCCGUUAGCACAGAGCCUGUGAAUAUUCAA
rnacentral:lncRNA from 1 species